UACGAAGGGUGCAAGCGUUACUCGGAAUUACUGGGCGUAAAGCGUGCGUAGGUGGUUCGUUAAGUCUGAUGUGAAAGCCCUGGGCUCAACCUGGGAAUGGCAUUGGAUACUGGCGGACUGGAGUGCGGUAGAGGAUGGCGGAAUUCCCGGUGUAGCAGUGAAAUGCGUAGAGAUCGGUAGGAACAUCUGUGGCGAAGGCGGCCAUCUGGACCAGCACUGACACUGAGGCACGAAAGCGUGGGGAGCAAACAGG
rnacentral:rRNA from 1 species